AAAGGAAACUAAUUUUGGCCUAAUUUUGUUUUCUAAUCCAUCACAAGUCCAAUAAUAGCCUAAGAUCAUUUAAUAUAGGCUUGGAGAAUCAGAUAAAUGGAUCCAAGGAAUUAGGUCAAGAAGCUCCAACAAGCCUUCAAUCUUUUGACCAUAGAAUGGAUAAGUGAAGAAUUGAAAAAAAAGGCCCAAAAUUAAUUGGUAAUCCACGACCAAAGCAUGUCAUACAUGUGAGUGUCCUAACUCACAUGUGCGACCAAAAGGAAGAGCUCGUUCUCGCGAGACUCCUUGAGGCGUGAUGAAUCCUCUUCACCUGUAACUUCUCCGCAUGUAUCUCUGAUUUCAA
rnacentral:lncRNA from 1 species